UUGGGGGGAAUAGAACAUAUGCAUUCCACAGGUCUGUAACAGAGAUGCAAAAUAACCUGUUCCUUUUAUCUUUGCAGCUGUGAGCAGAACCGAUCCACUGACACGGGCUUAUGUCAGAGAUGUGCAGGAGGUGCGCGCCUCCAUCUGCUGGUCCUCGUACACAAAGGUACUGCUAACAACUCAGCAGCACUGAACCUGGCAUGGAGAAGUGAAGCUGAUGGACAGGAGGUGCUCUGUGUGUAUACAUAUGUGCCUUUAUUUACGCUCAAAACUGUUGAUUUAAUUUCUUUAAACCUAUCUGCAGGCUAAGCAUUAAGUAGGUUGGAAGGCUGCACUUUGUCACGUCAGAGCUCUGAUAAAACUCUGUCUUCAUUCAGGUGGGAUGUUCUGGCAUGCUGUUGUGGGCACGAAGCCUCUGGUGGUUCGUACAGAAUGUUUUGCUGAAUGUUAGUUAUGCAUAAAUGCUAAGGUAUGUGUCAAUUAAACAUAAUAUAUAGGAUCAUGCCUAUCAUUUUCACAGGUUAAUUUAUGCAUUUGCACCUGUUCUUUACUUUUUGACUAAUGAUGAGUACACCCAUAGAUACACUUCUUUUCCUUUGGAAUAUAGUUAUAACAUGGCAGAAAAAAUAUAAUUAAAAUAUAGCAGGAAAAACGAAAUGCACUUUUGGAAGAGGAAAUUAGGAUAUUAUUAACUUGUAAAUGGAAAAAAAAAGCUCUACUGUUAGCUCUGAUAAGUAAAUGUGUAAUAAAAAACGUAUGGAAAAAAGACACAUUUUUAGGGAGAAAGCCUAGGAAAUACAUGAACAUUCUGCUUUCUUCGUAAAAUAUGGUACAGCUCAAUGUUGAGUGAUAAGUUAAUUUAUUUGGUGUAGGAUUUCUAAUAAUUUAAUUGUGGAAAUUUUGAAAGCAUUUGUGUCACUGGCUUGAACCGCAGAAGCGUGCUGUGCGUUGCUGUAAGAUUGUUCCACUUAAAGCAUUUCCCAUGCAAGUUUCUUUUCAGUUUCUUCCCAGGUGAGGUGCACUGGGCUUCUCCCAGCUGAGUUGCUGCUGCCUUCAGGAUGGCAGCCAACCCACCAUGCUGGGCACAGGUGAGGCUGGUCAGGCUGCGUGCUGGAGGCCGGGCAUUGAGAUCAGAUGGAUUGAGUGUGUGUGCACGGAUGGAAAGAUUUGCUGUGGCUCCAGCUGUGGGAUUGGGCUGGGACUAAGAGCUAAUUACUUCUCACCAGAUAUGUUUUCAUGCUGGCUUAUGGUUCUGUUUGCUGUGAUGAAUAAAGCUGCGUCCCCUUUAUUCCCAUCCGUGGUUUGUGCACUCCUCACAGGCUGAAGAGAGUGAUAGGUUGAAUCAUGCUGCAUGCCAUUAUUUACAGCUGGAAGCUGAAAUGCACGAGUGAUAAGGACUGUAUAAGGAUUUGGAAAACAAAUGUAUUCUUUUAGGCAACGACUCGCUUCCUUAUCAAAAUCAUGUUGGCAAGAAUAAUCUGAACUUUCUUCUUAUAAAACAUAACACAUCCUGCAUGUGUCACAACAUACUCUAUAUUCAGUCAUUCACAACGAAGCUUAGUGCUUUUAUGACUUGAAGGGAAUUGUUGGCUUCCUUUUAUUGAAGAUUGUAAUGUUUGUAGCUGUGAAAUAUGGCACUUUUUUGCAUCAGAGGAGUUGCAGUAUCUCUUUUUUCUUCAUCAUUUGCAUGUCUUAGAUAUGUCCAACUGUGAGAAGACAACGUUCCCUGAAAGGAAAUCAUCAGAUAACUCAGCUAUUUCUCUGUUCACGAUAGAACUUUAAGUAGAAAAGUGAGAAUGCAAGUUAAAGGGGACAAACUUAUGAAUUCGUGUGUGGCAUCUUUCUUGUUCGUUGGAAUACACUCCUAAAAGAAAAAUGUGGGGUGUGAUAAAAUAGAGCAAAUACAGGUAAGAGAAUUGUUUUAAUGAGGUCCCUGGUGGUGUUAAUGUGUAAACGUUAAUACUUGGAUCUUCUGUUCCAUGAAUAUGUGCUGUGGAUUUACCUCAUUUUGUGAGAGGGUUUGCACAGCACUGAGCCAGAGCUCCACCAGUGGCUCCAAGAGGUAAAUCACAAAAGCUUUUAGUGACAUGUAAGCGUUCUUUGGAGUCAAUGAAAAUCUUCUGGUGUACGUUGCAGAUCAGUAACUGCCUGCCAGCAGGUAACUAGUCUGCCAUAGCAAUGAAGUGCCCGAUUAUCUUCAAGAACACGUGCCACUUCCAUUACCUCCGUUAAUUUCUUAUGACUUUUGCUGGGUCCCAUUUCUGAGCCUGCUGAGAACAGCUCACGUGCUGCGUUCCAGGUUUUGCUGGAGGAACUCUUUGCACCUGCACUCCCUCAGCGGGCUGUGAUGAGGCUCACCUGGAGCUGGCAGCAGCUGGGUGAGGAGGGGCCGGGCUCUGGCUGCAGUUGGGCUGAGUUCUUGGGCAGGGGGGCUGCUGUGUGUGCUGGCUCGGGGCUGAUCCCGCGGUGGCUGGAAUAUUGCUAACUAAGAAGCAGCUUUAGCGUGAAAUACUGCAGACAAAAACGUGAACUGGGGGUUUUAAGUGUUUUCACUCAGAAACCAGCACUGGGAGUAAGAAGUGGGCAUCAGUGUUCUUGAGACAUCUAUCAAUGUCUGCAGCAAGAUCCCAUCUGAUAAAGAAAUAGGUUUAUUCCAUGAACAGAAAAGAAGACAACGCUCCUGAUCCUCCUCCUCAUCACAUACCAGCAAGAUUUCAGGGUGGCAAUCUUUGAAGAGAUUCUGAAACAUCAAAUCAGGAAAAGAUGGGAAUAAGCUGAUUUCUUCCUGAGAUAACACUGAGAACAUCGUUGCAUGUCUGAUGGAGAACAGAAAACGAGUGAGAAAGUCUGGACUGUGCUGUCGCACAGAGCAGCUGCUCCACCCCACAUCACACGCUGUGCCCUUGCAGAGCUUUCCCCAUCCCCAGCUCAGGGCCUACCCUGCACCCUGUGCUUAGCAAGGGGCCACCAGCUGUGGAGCCGGCUGAUUCACAACAGGUGGCAAAAACUAGUCUGUCCUGGUAAGAACCUCGCUAGCUGUGAGGUGGGCUUGAAGCAUCUGCUCUGCAACAGAUGAGAGUGCAAAAGGAGUGAGGAGGACGUCCUUCUGUGAAGCUUUUCCACACCUCUGGGGAUGAGAAGGAGCAAAGCGGUGCUGCUGCGUGUGGGAGCGACUGGUCUGCUAAAGAAUUACAGCUUUCCAGUGCCAGCUCAAACACCGAGGAAUCCCUGCCACCAUAAAACUAUAAUUGCUGAAUUAAUAACAGCGGGUUCUGGAGAGUGACUGCAAGACUCUCUGACCCAGGAACAAAUUCUGCAGCUGGUGCCACCUGGCCCCACAGCUAUGAUGCUCCUCAGGGCUGGGAUGAAGGGAUGCUCUUUAAACAGGAUAAUAGCAGAUCACAGGUCACUCAGAAUUGAAUAUCCUCAUCCCAAGGCUGUCAGCCACACCACGUCCUGUCCCUGCUGGCUGCACGGCAACGAUGGCAACACGUCUGCAUGGAUGUGGACAUGGAAGCCCAAUGUGUGUCAUCUCCUCUGAGGCUGCUCGAGUUGCUCUUCAGUGCUUCAAGGGGACAGAAAGAGCAGAGAAAUAAUAAGGCUUUGUAUGAGUGGUGAGACUCCAGUUUGUACUGUGAUGGCUGUUCACCAUUGGAUCUACCUCUAACAGAUGGGACAGAGAUGCAGGCGGGGUGGAGGGGCCGCAAAGGCAACUGAUGGAGAAGUUUCUUUGGAGCUUGCCAUUCUUUUUGCUUCAUUUAUAUUUCAUUAGCCAUGAAAUUGUGUUUAUAAUUGUAUUAGACAACUGUGUGAGAUAUUAGAUCAUAAGCCCAGCCUGAAUUAAAGCCAUUUUUAAUUAGUUA